rfam:Ehrlichia chaffeensis str. Arkansas, complete genome.
GGCUAAGUAGUUCAGUGGCAUAGUAGGAGAAUCAUAAUUUCUCAGUCGCGGGUUCAAAUCCCUCCUUAGCCA